CUCCAUCCGGAUGAGCCAUCUGGAUGGAGAUGAGAGUUUUGUUAGUUUAGACACUAAGAGUAUAACUCAUCCAGAUGGAUCAUCCGGAUGACAUUUGAAAUUUUAGGUUUAAUUUCAGAAACCAGCUGGUUGGACCAAAUCGAACCAGCUGACUGGAGAUGGCUCAGCCAAAAUAUCAAAAUGUCAAUUUUACCCUCAUAAAAUACUGAAAUUACAAACCUAAUUAAAAUCUCUCGUAUCUCUCUAUGCCGUCAACGACACUUCCACAUCUCUCUCUUUCGCCAUGAAAUCCCCAUGAAAGCUUGAGCUCUCUCUCUCUCUCUCCACCUCUCUAUCUCCGCCUCUCUCUCUCUCCGCGUCUCUCUCACCACAGCUCACUCUCUCUCAAGUAUAUCUCUCGCACUCUCUCACACUC
rnacentral:lncRNA from 1 species